UUGAAUCAAUCUAGAGUUGGUUGUUGCUGGCCUCUAGGCAUGUGCACACCUUCUCUUUCAUCCACACACACACCUGUGCACUUGUGAGAUGGAGGGCCAGAAAUUUUAUUUCUGGCCUGCCAUCUGCUAUUACACAAACUCAAUUUAAUUUAAACUGAAUGUAAUUGAUGUAACACAUCUAAUAC
rnacentral:misc_RNA from 1 species